GGGGAUUUAGCUCAGCGGUAGAGCGCUUGCCUAGCGAGCAUAAGGCCCUGGGUUCGGUCCCCAGCUCCG
rfam:Rattus norvegicus chromosome X, whole genome shotgun sequence.